ensembl:snoRNA U3 Small nucleolar RNA U3
AUAACUAUACUUUUAGGGAUCAUUUCUAUAGUUUGUUUUUUCACAUUCUAAACUACAUGUUCAUGGUGUCUUAAAAGCCAAUUCCACAUUAAGGGAGUAUGAUUUCAGGUAUCAUUCCAAAGUAAAGAGUUGCCUCUGUGGC